rnacentral:snoRNA from 1 species
UCAUGGAGAGAUAGAUGUUUUUGAAUGGUAUCUGUUAUGAUAAUUGGAUGAACCAUAUUUCCUAUAUCUCUCCUGACAUCGAAUAAUUCAGAUAUUAAUGCUUGUGUUCCUCUCUAUAUGGAACUUCAAGUUUGGCUAUUCUGUUACAUUCUUACUUUUGCACAACUCU